rnacentral:misc_RNA from 1 species
UAAUAAGUGUUUUAUGGCACUUUUUAAAUCCAUAUCCACCUUGUGUGCAAUGUCAGUCGAUCUUCUUCAUGGUGAUCGACCAAACAUCAACCUUUAUCUUUUAACUCUUUGUCUGAAAAAUAUUAUGAAUAAACAAUUCAAAAUA